GGGGAAUCUUGCGCAAUGGGCGAAAGCCUGACGCAGCGACGCCGCGUGAGUGAUGAAGGCCCUCGGGUUGUAAAGCUCUGUGGGGAGAGGCGAAUAAGGGCCGGCUAAUACCCGGCUCGAUGACGGUAUCUCCUUAGCAAGCACCGGCCAACUCUGUGCCAGCAGCCGCGGUAAGACAGAGGGUGCAAACGUUGUUCGGAAUUACUGGGCGUAAAGCGCGUGUAGGCGGCAGGGUGUGUCGGAUGUGAAAUCCCGUGGCUCAACCACGGAAGUGCACCCGAAACUACCCAGCUCGAGUCUCGGAGAGGAAGGUGGAAUGCUUGGUGUAGAGGUGAAAUUCGUAGAUAUCAAGCGGAACACCGGUGGCGAAGGCGGCCUUCUGGACGAUGACUGACGCUGAGACGCGAAAGCGUGGGGAGCAAA
rnacentral:rRNA from 1 species